UAGGGAAUCUUCGGCAAUGGGGGGAACCCUGACCGAGCAACGCCGCGUGAGUGAAGAAGGUUUUCGGAUCGUAAAGCUCUGUUGUUAAGGAAGAACGAGUGUGAGAAUGGAAAGUUCAUACUGUGACGGUACUUAACCAGAAAGGGACGGCUGACUACGUGCCAGCAGCCGCGGUAAUACGUAGGUCCCGAGCGUUGUCCGGAUUUAUUGGGCGUAAAGCGAGCGCAGGCGGUUAGAUAAGUCUGAAGUUAAAGGCAGUGGCUCAACCAUUGUAGGCUUUGGAAACUGUUUAACUUGAGUGCAGAAGGGGAGAGUGGAAUUCCAUGUGUAGCGGUGAAAUGCGUAGAUAUAUGGAGGAACACCGGUGGCGAAAGCGGCUCUCUGGUCUGUAACUGACGCUGAGGCUCGAAAGCGUGGGGAGCGAACAGG
rnacentral:rRNA from 1 species